GCAUGUUUAACAAGGAUCUCUCAAUGACACCCUGGCACAAAUACACUCAGAUGCAUCUGCAGCAAGCUGAGAUAAGGAGGGCUGGGUUUCCUUCUUCCUCUGAGCUCCAGGAGGGAAAUUAUAGCCUCUAAAGACACGUUGGGUCACAGACCUGCCUCGACUGCUGUCCACAAUGAUCCUCUACCUGCUCUUGCCUGCUUUUGUCCUCGGUACUGUGACAUCACAAUCAGCCAACAGCACAGCGGGACAGCUCGAUGAAGUUGUGAGGAACCAAACAUUCAACAGUACACUGAAACCAAAGAAUGUGACAUCCACAUUUUACGAAGAGAAGAAGGCGGUCGAGGAAAAACUGCAAAGUAACCAAGGUUCUGUUAUCGCAGAAGGUGAAGAGAGUUUCCAGGAUGAGGAAAAUAAAAUUACUGGGGAAAACUGUGAUUGGAAGUCACUGCAAUUCUUCAGUUCCACCUACUGUGGUGAAAAUUUUCACCAGGACAUGUGGAAUAUCGGCAGAGAUAACUGGUGUGUCCAGGAACGUUUCAUCGGGUAACUGAAUAAAUAUAUCCACAAACCUCCAUGUUUAACACACUGAAUAAUACUC
ensembl:lncRNA